AUGCUUCUCACAUGCAGUUAACUAUAACAUCAAUCUAAAUGUUCAAACACUUCAGAGGCAGUUCCUGUAUUAUAAAGGAUGUUAUUAGCCUUCAUGGUAUUGAACAAAAACACUACCCGGGAGGAAACAAAUGUUGAACAGUCUCUUCUCAGUGGUCGGAUUUCUGUUUCCUCUUUGCUUUAUCCUCUUUCCCAAGAUCCACUUCCUUUCCUUAGCCAACAGGAAAAAUGACAUUAAGGAAGAAGACCAAAUAAAGGAAGAGGAAAAGAAAAGAAAAGAGUCUCAAAAGAAGAAAAACUGCCCCAAGAAAGAGCACAAAAUUGAAGUUGUUUAGGUUCAGAGCAGCCGCCUAUGACGUCACAGCCACAGAUUCUUCCCACUAAGGAGAUGGAGGAAGUGAUCCACAGGAGCUACCUACCCACAGUAAAUAAGAGGAAGAGAUGGCCAAGAAAGCUGAAAGAUGCAUUUACAGACCAGACAUGAUGGUAACAACCAUUAAUGAAGGAAAGACUGGGGAGAGGACUUCGUAACAUUUUCGUAACGCAGCUCUAUUUAAAAAUAUUUAUUAUGCCUAUUAAGAGUGACGUGCCAUGCUAGGUACAACGGUUUGUACAAAGGAAUAUAGGCAAAGUGGUGACAAUAAUAAGAUAGGACAAAGAGCAAGAAGAGCCCGAAUUACAUUUAUUAUAAUUUGCCGAGAGAAAAAAUGCAUUUUAAUCACUUGUUUAAAUGAGACUUAUAUAGUAAUGUAGGAGACCUAAUUGUCCUAAUACAUGAUUGUUCAAACUACAAUUAAAUGUAUUGCUGUUCCUUUUCUGAAAUAAACAUGAAAUAGAAAGAAUAUUACAUAUUUUUACAGACGUAAGGUAGAAACUUUGAGUUGUUCACACUAAAUGAAAAUAUCAUUGCUUCAAUGGGCUUUAAAACACGAAUUUUUAUGUUCUGCAGUGCAGUAUGGCUUACAAUGACAUGAGUCUUUAUAAACUUCUGACACUAGAACUAUGUAAAUUCAUAAUGUGUAAGCAUCUAGGAAAAAGUGUUAUUCUAUGUCCAUUUUUUCCCUAAAAGUGAAAUGUCCUGUCAUUUUCUUAUAAAUAGAUAUUAAAUCAUCAUCAUCAAUACUGAUAGCAUUGUAGUGACAGAAAGGAAUCCACAAUACUGCCAAAGAUACCGAACAUGCAUUUAGUAAGAAUCCUAGCUUAGGUCUAUAUUGCUUUUGGCUAUUGAGUUCCAGUUUGUAAAAGAUUCAGUUCAUCUAUACUUGUCCCUGUCUUGUACAUUUUGCUGUCAAGCAAGAGUUAAUAAAAGCAGUUCUCUGUCAUAGGUAGAUAUGCAUACUAUUGUCAGCAGAUCUUUUAGCAAAGUUAACCACAAAGUCACCCAGGUCAUAGGUCAAAAUACCAAAAUUUAAAUGGGCACAUUUAGUUAGAAAGGGACCGACCAUGCACUUUAAGGACAAAGAGAUCUGGGUUUGAAUCUACUCCAAUCUUUCUUUGUGCCCUUUGGCAAAUUACUUAAUUUCUCCAAGCCCUGAUGUUCUCCAAGAAAAAUGAAGAUUAAAAAAGACCUUUUUUGCUGGAUUGAUGAGUGGAUAAAACACGGUAUAUGUAAAAUGUAUAACUCAGUGCCUAAGACAGUUGUUCAAAAAGGCUAGUUGUUAUUAUUAGAAAGUAUUGAUAUUCCUUCAGACCUUUAGGUUUCCUUGAUACGGUUUUUCAGGAUAGCAGAAAAGUCUACAAUAUGGUUCAAAAUACUUGGAUGGUGCCCACCCACUUCAGUCCUCUAACUCAUCUUACAUUAUAUUGCAUUAAGUGGGAAUGGGAAGCACAUAGCAAAUUAAUUAAGAGUAUUUCAGGCCAGAUGGUAAAAAAGAGACAUGAAAUUAAAUCUCCCUAACAUGUUUAAUAGAAUAACUGCCAAAUCCCUGGGCUAUUAUUUUGUUGCCUAGAGCAUAACCAAUCUACCAAAUCUAUCAAGUUGCUUCUGAAGCAACUGUUCUAGUUAUUCCCGUCAUUGUAUAACAGACAUCACACUGAAAAUAGGAAUGUUGCCAUUUCAUGAUUGCAUAUAAGUUGUAAAUAAACUAUCUCAGAUACAUAACAUAUUCCUAAACUUUAUCCCCAUCAAGCACACAAUUGUUUUUCAAGUUUAUUUAAGUUCUCUACACCCAACAUGGGGCUCGAACUCUUGACUCCAAGAUUAAGAGUCACAAUCUUUUCCAACUGAGCCAGCCAGAGGCCUUAAAAUUAAUUUUUUAAAAUAAUUUAACAAACCUUCCAUCUCUUAGUUCAUUUAAGUGUUCUAUCAUUUCUGGCUUGCAGCCUGAAUAGUAAAUUGAAUGAGAAACUUCUGAAUCUUCCAGAGACUGGAAAGUAUUGGGUAUUCUCUCAAAAAAUCCUGUUCUCAAAGCUUCCUAUGCUGGAUUCUUAUAAAAAAGUUUGGAUAAGUACCCUCCUGUUUUGAUGUGUGCAAUUAACAGAAGUUUAAAUAUAUCCAUGCCCUCUGAAAGUUACUAUAAAUAUAUAGAUUUGCAUCCCUUACAUUUAAUUCCCUAAUGAGAAUAUCAGAAAUAGACUUUGUUUAAACUCUGAUCAUGCUUGACAAAAACGUCCUCUUGCUUUAGUAGCAACUUCCGAGCAGCCACAUACUAAAGAAAGAAACUCUGCUUCUCUUCAUAGCAUUUCUUUGUGCAUCUCUAAAAGAAUUACCUGUUUUUAUUCUAACAGGUUUUCCAUUUUGCAAAGUGUUUAAAAGGCAGUAAAGGAGAGCUAAGAAUUGGGGAAAUAUGGUGGGUAAGAAUUGCAUGUAUUUCAAACUCCUACUCUUGAAAACGUCAGACCCGUGUUGGAGUUAAUGGGUCGCUUUCAUGUCCACUCAGAGAAUAAGAGUUAAACAAAGAAAAAUGUUUGCUCAGAUAAGAGAAAAAUUCCAUCAAGAAAAAAGAAAGAUAGGAGAAAGAGGGAGAGAGAGAGACUCAAAGAAGAUAUAGUGUUUCCAACAAGUAAACAUUUUAUUUUGCUUUACAAUAGGCAGGAAAACAAGCUACUGUUUGUUAUUUUCCCAACUAUCAGUAUUUUAACUGAUUAAAGACUAAAGUAUUUUAUUUCUCUUUGGUCUGAUUUGGGAAGAAAGGCCAAGGACAGGAAAUCUGAGUCACUCUAUUCCUAGGAAAACCUUUGUAUUGCAAGCACUCAUAACAGUGAUAAAAUACACAGAUGGGUUCAAAAUGUUACCUCUGCAUUUGUCCACCCAAAUAAAAUAAUCAUUGUGUAAUCAGUUGGAAAUCGAAGUAAAUUUUUCUAGGAGUAAAACUAACGUUCCGUUAUUUGUGCUACCUGGAAAUAGGAAAAGAAUAACAAAAGUUUACAAAUAAUUCAAAAGCCAACUUUACUCAAUGGUUUUCAGCUUCGCUCAAACUUAAUCUAUUAUUUGAAGAGCUAAUCGGAAACUAGACCAACUAGCUUAAGUUUUAACUUGUUCCUCUUUCAACCUUAAGUCCUUCUGGAAAAAAAAAAGACACAAAAGUACAAGGAAAAGUCUAGAAGGCUUGCAGAAAAUAAUAAAAUAGAAAAAUGUGAACAGAUGAGUGAGCUGUGUUUUUUCCCAACGUCAGAAUAGAUUAAUCCUGUCCUAGAUAAUCCAGAAGUGACUCUUCAGUGUCUAACUAUGUGCUCAGACCAGACCCCCCCAUGCUAUGUACUGUAUUUGGGUCAUUAAUCUUCUGGGAACUGGUUUUCUCCCAGAAAUCACACAUCACCUUCCCUGAGUCAGAAAUAUCUCCAGUGCUUCAUCCCUUAGUUUUCCACCCACUGGACAAAGCUUAUAAAACUACUAGUGGGGCUAUGUUUAUUUAAAAUACUGGUGGCAUCAAUUAAUCAAUUAAGAACAUAAAACCAUGGGUGAACUAGGGAAUUAGAAAGAGAACACAAGAGGCAAAAACACGUGCUUUCAACCAGUCUUCAGGACCUGGCACAAGGUGAAAUUAGAGGAGCCACAGACUAAAGAUGCUAAAUAGGGAUGAAGAGGGCUUCAUGGACCACUGCCUGCAAUUUUCAAAGGCACAGCUUUCAGGUUUCAAAGGAACCAGUUGGCAUCAAUUACAAGAUGGUUUUCUAGAUCCCACAGACUUUCCCAUCUAUGGUUUACAAAAGAAUUAGCCAUAUAGAAAAUUAGUUGCAUGACUAUUUUCUGAUUUCUCCCUAGGGUAGUAAAUAGCCAGUGCCAUCUCAUUGCAAAGAAGAGAAGCUCAUUCAUUAUGUUAAUUGGUAUCUUAGGGAAGGUGUUGACAAAUUACAGCCACGUGGGGAAAAUUCAGUUGCCCAUUUGUUUUUGUAAAUAAAGUUGGAUUGGCACACAGCCAUGCUCAUUCAUUUAUGUAUCAUCUAUGACUGCUUUUGAGCUACAAUGGCAGGGUUCAGUAGUUAUGCCAAAUACCACGUGGCCUUCAAAGCCAAAAAUAUUUACUACCUGGUCCUUCAUAGAAAAGUUCGUUACCAAAAAAAAUAAAAAAAAAAUAAAAAAAUAAAAAAAUAAAGAAAAGUUCGUUACCUCUAUGUUAGGUAAUUAGAGCUUAAUUCUCCUAUAGAACGCCCAUUGAGAAAGGCUGCUGGUGUGUGACUGAAGCAAUAAAUCCAAGAAAGAAACUGUGACUCUCUCAAAACCUACCUCAAAUGUGGGAAUGGAGAAUGAAAACUGAAACUCAAUGAAAACUAGACUAAUAACUGGACCUAGCGAAAAUGACCUACCACUCUGAAGGAGGUGGUAGCACUGCGCAAAAAUAAAAUGUCUGCCCAUGCCUUCCAUACCGAUCUACAUGAGUUUAUGUUAGUAACUAUAUCCAUUAAUUCUACUCCUGUCAUUUUUUCUUUGACUUGUCAGCUUCCUCGGAUUUUUUUAUCUGACGUGUCAUGUCAUGUUUGUCUUUACUCAUUUCAGCUUCUUCGGAAGUUAAAUUAAGAAAAAAAUGUUGUUUCUCUAUAUGUCCCUUGGAAUUAAUUCAAGUUUUGGGAAUAAGGUAAUCUUAGGAAAGAAGUCAUGUGACAUGAAUAUGGACUGUUUAACACAUGGCAUUGAAGAUGUGAAAAAAAAAGGCACUCAUAUAUGACUGAUGAGAUUAUAUAUUAAUCUAAUCUCUGUGGGAGAUGAUUUAGCAGUAGCAAAUAAAGUCACAAAAGCAAAUUACUUUGACCUAGUAUUUCUACUUUUAGGAAAUUAUCCCUCAGAUAUACAUCACUGAAAUAUUUAGAAAAUGAGCCAUGUAAAAGAUUAUUCUUUGCAGUAUUGUCUUUUUACCAAAAGAUUGAAAAUAACCUAAAUAUCCCUCAGUUGGGGACUAGUUAAAUAUAUAAGGUACAUGCACCAAUGGAAUAUUGUGUAACCAUUAAAAAAAGAAUGAGAUAUAUAUUUAUGCACUAACUCGGCAACUCAUUUGUUUAUUUUUUUAACAAAACCCUAUUAAGCACCUACUAUAUUCUAAACAAAGAGGACACAAAAUGGGCAAAACAAAGUUCCUUCUCAUAUGGGAUGCCAACAAUAAACAAAUAAAAAUGUAUAUAUUGUGUCAAACAGGGUAAAAUAAAACAAUGUAAGGGGGAUAGGUAGUGACCCAGUUUGUUGCUCUUUUAAUUAGGAUUGUCAGGGAAGUUCUCAAAGUUUAGGUGGCAUUUAAACAGAGACCUGAAAGAAGUGAGGAAAUUAGCCACAUGUAUAUCUGGAGAAAGAACUAUCCAGAGAUAGAGCUCCUAUAUAAAGUCCCUGAGAUGCCACAUUUAAGGCACAAACCGGAGGCUGUUGAUGAGGGGACACAUAUAUAGAGACACCUAGAUAGAGGUGUCAGAUGAGACCUGACAGGUAGUGCAAGGAAUCAGAAUCCUUUUGGUGUACACCAAAAGUAAAGAAUGUGACUUUUCCUCUCUGUGUCAUGGGAAGCCAUCAAAGGGUCCAGAAUAGAUGAAUGACAUGAUCUGACUUUUUUUUAAGGAUCACUCUGGUUGAUUCACUCGUUAGUCAGAAAUCUAUUGCCUUAAUAGAAUCAAGGACACUAGCUCGAAGCACGGUGAUCAUAGAGGAAGUAGCAAGAUAUAUUUGCAUUCUGGAUAUAUUUUAGAUGAUAUCCAAAAACACUGCUUAAUUAAAUGUUAAGAAUAAUGUGUGUUACCAUUUGUGUUUAAAACAGAAGGAGAUGACAGCCAGCAAGAAGAACAAAAUGUUGCCAUUUGCAAUGAUGUGGAUGGAACUAGAAAGUAUAAUGCUAAGUGAAAUAAGUCAGUCAGAGAAAGACAAAUAUCUAUGAUUUCACUCAUAUGUGGAAUUUGAGAAACAAAACAGAUGAAUAUAGGGGAAGGGAAGAAAAAAUAAGAUGAAAACAGAGAAGGAGGCAAACCAUAAGAGACUCUUAACUAUAGGAAACAAAGGGUUGAUGGGGGGGAAGGGGUUGAGGAUGGGGCAACUGGGCACUAAGGAGGGCACAUGAUGGAAUGAGCACUGGGUGUUAUGUGCAACUGAUGAAUCACUAAAUUCUACCUCUGAAACUGAUGAUACACUAUACGUUAAUUAAAUUGAAUUUAAAUUUAAAAAAUAGUUGGAGAUGAUAGAUAAAUAUCAUUGCUUGUAAAUACAUAAAUUCUCUGAAAGAAUAAAUAAGAAAUUGAUAACUUUAUUUGCCUCUGGGAAGGAAAACUAAGGGUCUGGGGAACAAGAGUGGGAAAGAGACUUUUCAAUGUACAGUCUUUUGUGUCUUUUGAACUUUGAACAAUGUGAUGUGUAAAUGAUUUUUUUAAUUAAUUAUUAAAAUUAAAAUUUUUAAGCUUAGCAAACAAAAACAUGA